rnacentral:rRNA from 1 species
ACUCCUACGGGAGGCAGCAGUGGGGAAUAUUGCACAAUGGGCGCAAGCCUGAUGCAGCCAUGCCGCGUGUAUGAAGAAGGCCUUCGGGUUGUAAAGUACUUUCAGCAGUGAGGAAGGUGGGUAUGUUAAUAGCAUAUUCAUUUGACGUUAGCUGACAAGAAGAAGCCGAACCGGCCUAACUCCGUGCCAGCAGCCGCGGUAAUACGGAGGGUGCGAGCGUUAAUCGGAAUUACUGGGCGUAAAGCGCAUGCAGGUGGUUUGUUAAGUCAGAUGUGAAAGCCCGGGGCUCAACCUCGGAAUUGCAUUUGAAACUGGCAAACUAGAGUACUGUAGAGGGGGUGGAGAAUUAUCAGGUGUAGCGGUGAAAUGCGUAGAGAUCUGAAGGAAUACCGGUGGCGAAGGCGGCCCCCUGGACAGAUACUGACACUCAGAUGCGAAAGCGUGGGGAGCAAACAGGAUUAGAUACCCUGGUAGCUACGAGU